rnacentral:rRNA from 1 species
UUUAAAUUGAGAGUUUGAUCCUGGCUCAGGACGAACGCUGGCGGCGUGCCUAACACAUGCAAGUCGAGCGAUGAAGCUUCCUUCGGGAAGUGGAUUAGCGGCGGACGGGUGAGUAACACGUGGGUAACCUGCCUCAAAGAGUGGGAUAGCCUC